AGGAUGGACAUUCCAGCUGCGUUUUUAUUGCUAGCAGUCCUGACUUGUCUCGCCAGUGGACAGGGGGAUAACGAGAUCCUUGAGCCGACAGAUACGCAGGCCAGGAAUCUGGUGAUGUCUUUAUUCAUGAACAGAAUCAGAUCGAGAACGCUAGGCUUCAGGAUAAUGGCGUCAAACAGAACAUUUCUGGAGACCUGACCUCCAGCCUAACCUCCAGCCUUGAUAAAGAUAUAGUGCC